GAUGAACGCUAGCGGCAGGCCUAACACAUGCAAGUCGAGGGAGAAGCCCUUUCGGGGGCAGACACCGGCGCACGGGUGCGUAACGCGUAUGCAACCUACCUUUCACAGGGGGAUAGCCCGAAGAAAUUUGGAUUAAUACCCCAUAAUCUUAUUGGAUGGCAUCAUUUGAUAAUUAAAACUGCGGUGGUGAAAGAUGGGCAUGCGUCCUAUUAGCUAGUUGGAGUGGUAACGGCACCCCAAGGCUACGAUAGGUAGGGUUCCUGAGAGGGAGAUCCCCCACACUGGUACUGAGACAGGGACCAGACUCCUACGGGAGGCAGCAGUGAGGAAUAGUGGUCAAUGGUCGGAAGACUGAACCAGCCAUGCCGCGUGCAGGAAGAAUGCCUUAUGGGUUGUAAACUGCUUUUAGAUGGGAAGAAUAAGGCGUACGUGUACGUUGAUGACGGUACCAGAUGAAUAAGCAUCGGCUAACUCCGUG
rnacentral:rRNA from 1 species